UACGAAGGGGGCUAGCGUUGUUCGGAAUUACUGGGCGUAAAGCGCACGUAGGCGGACUAUUAAGUCAGGGGUGAAAUCCCGAGGCUCAACCUCGGAGUUGCCUUCAAAACUGCUGUGCUCGAGUUCGGAAGAGGUGAGUGGAAUUCCCAGUGUAGAGGUGAAAUUCGUAGAGAUUGGGAAGAACACCAGUGGCGAAGGCGGCUCACUGGUCCGCAACUGACGCUGAGGUGCGAAAGCGUGGGGAGCAAACAGG
rnacentral:rRNA from 1 species